CACACACACCCGCGUGGCCUGGGCUGUGAGUCGCGGAGCAUCCCGGUGGGUUGCGGUGGGGCGCCGCGCCGAGGCUUGCCUCCCCGGGAGCCCGCUCAGUCUCAGGCUCGGCCCUGGGCAACCCGCCCGCGCCUCGUUCGCCCGGUGCAGAAAUCCUACCGCCCGUGCGCCCUGGGCGCGCCGCCGGGCCCCGUGCCGGCUCCCCGGGAAUGCGGCCGUCAGGUGAGUUUCUCCUUCAGAUGCGAAAAGAGAGAUCGCAGGAAUCCAUGCCCAGAUCCAGCCUAACUCGGUCCACAGGCAGAGAGAGAAUUAUGAAUGGAUGCUGCCUUCUGAUGAGGAAGUCGACUGGGGAGGUCUCUGCGCACGGCGCGCUCCAUCAAAGCAGGGGCAUUGGCCCCUCCACUGCUUCAAUGCUGCAGGCUGAGCCACCUAAUUGACCACUGGGAAAUCAGGUGCCAGGAGACCUGGGCGGGACGUAGCCCCGGGGCCACGCUGGGAUCCAGUGCCUUGCCGGCGUAGACAGCUUCGAUUUACAGCCCAGUGAAUGGAGACGACUGCGGCAGCCAAACCUCCCGGGCAGCAGGCACGGUUGCACCAACGCUCCGCAGACAGCCGCCAGGCUCCUCAAACAUUUCCUGGCUCCACUGGGCUAACGGGGACCUGGCUAAAAAGAGUCUGUCCCCUGCCGCCAGCCGCAGUGAGCUGCAGGACUCAGCCCCAGCCCCAAACUCGGCAGCGCAUGGGAACCAGCCACCGAGCCCCGGCCUGUGCACCUAGACAAGCUAGGGGCUGCGGAGGAUCCCGGAUCCGGAUUUCUUGUACCUGUGCGUUUCCUUCUCCGGUAGUACGACCGCUGGGGCUGCGUGUUACCCAUGCCCAGAGUGGCGGCAGGCUCGGCACAUCACCAACAGGCUGGACCGACCGCGGCUGCUCAGCACCGCACCCCCGUGGCUCCCCUCUCACUUCCCUUGUCUCCAGUCUCAGGAUAACAGCACAGGAAUCACAGACGCUGACCGUGCCAAGCCCUCCAUGCUGAGAAAGACGGUGGACAGAGCCUGUCGUAGAGCAUGUGCCCCCAUGUAGCAGAAAUACAGCGGUCCUGGAAAUGUGACAUUGCGUGCCCCCACCGAUUCAUCUCCGGACUGAAGCCUCACAUCCUAGACACAACUCACUCUACUCAGGCUUACAAGCACUGCAAGGACAAUGCCUUUGCAGCUAUGUAUUAAUCUCCAGGGAAAAAUGAUUUGCGAAAUCAGUUCUGAGGUUGAACCAGGAUUAAAAACCAUGGCAGUGUGUGCCUUAGGCUGGCAGGGUCUAUAGAUAACAACCUAAUGCAGCAGGCAGAGUCAUUUAGGGCCAGUUAAAACACGACAUGUAUGGGAUACAGCCUAAUAUUUAACAAGAACAACAUCAGUGAAUUAAAUUAUCCAAAGAUGUCUUGUGAAA